CAGCAGCCACGGUAAUACGAAGGGUGCAAGCGUUACUCGGAAUUACUGGGCGUAAAGCGUGCGUAGGUGGUUGUUUAAGUCUGCUGUGAAAGCCCUGGGCUCAACCUGGGAAUUGCAGUGGAUACUGGGCAACUAGAGUAAGGUAGAGGAUAGUGGAAUUUCCUGUGUAGCGGUGAAAUGCGUAGAUAUAGGAAGGAACACCAGUGGCGAAGGCGACCACCUGGGCUCAUACUGACACUGAGGUGCGAAAGCGUGGGGAGCAAACAGGAUUAGAUACCCCAGUAGUCCCUGUCUCUUAUAC
rnacentral:rRNA from 1 species